CGGAGUUGUAGUUUAAUAAAAUAUUAGCAUUGGAAGCUAAAGAUCAGGUACAUAUUCCUGCGCUCUGA
rnacentral:tRNA from 1 species